rnacentral:rRNA from 1 species
UACGUAGGUGGCAAGCGUUGUCCGGAUUUACUGGGCGUAAAGAGCGCGCAGGCGGUCAGAUAAGUCGAAUGUGAAAGCCCCCGGCUCAACUGGGGAGGGUCAUUCGAUACUGUUCGACUUGAAGGCAGGAGAGGGAAGUGGAAUUCCCGGUGUAGUGGUGAAAUGCGUAGAUAUCGGGAGGAACACCAGUGGCGAAGGCGACUUCCUGGCCUGUUCUUGACGCUGAGGCGCGAAAGCUAGGGGAGCAAACGGG